UCCAUAUUAUUAGCCCCAAUAAAAAUGGCCCAACACCAAUUAAACCCAAGUCUCUUCUUUCAUUACUGUCUCGCCGUCUUCCACUCUUCCUUCUUCUCCUUCACGAUUUUAGGGUUCCAUCGGAAGACAGCCAGUAGAUUUAUUUUGGACCAAGGAUCGCCGGCGGCUAAUCUACUAUUUCUUUACACACAUUUUCCAUCUCCGGCCAAUAAGGUAAAUCUUCAAUUUUUCUUAAGAUUUCUUGCCGAGUCUGAUUGAAAUUGGAAGAAUCGGACCCAUAUUCCAUACCGGUACUCCGACCGGAAUGAAGAGUCCGAGCAUCAUAGUGGUAGCCGUUGGCAUUUGUGGAGUUGCUGCUGCUAUUCCACCGGUUGUGGCAGGGAUGGCAUUAGCUCCAUCGC
rnacentral:lncRNA from 1 species